AACGUAGGUCCCGAGCGUUAUCCGGAUUUACUGGGCGUAAAGCGUGUUCAGGCGGUCUAGCAAGUCGGGCAUGAAAUCUCUCGGCUCAACCGGGAGAGGUUGUCCGAUACUGCUGGACUUGAGGGCAGUAGAGGGUGGUGGAAUUCCGGGUGUAGUGGUGAAAUGCGUAGAUAUCCGGAGGAACACCAGUGGCGAAAGCGGCCACCUGGACUGCACCUGACGCUGACACGCGAAAGCUAGGGGAGCGAACGGG
rnacentral:rRNA from 1 species